rnacentral:rRNA from 1 species
GACGAAGGGGGCUAGCGUUGUUCGGAAUUACUGGGCGUAAAGCGCGUGUAGGCGGUUUUCCAAGUUGGGUGUGAAAGCCUUGGGCUUAACCCAAGAAAUGCACUCAGUACUGGAAGACUAGAGGACCGGAGAGGAUAGUGGAAUUCCCAGUGUAGUGGUGAAAUACGUAGAGAUUGGGAAGAACACCAGUGGCGAAGGCGGCUAUCUGGACGGUUUCUGACGCUAAGACGCGAAAGCGUGGGGAGCAAACAGGAUUAGAUCCCCUGGUAGUCCACGCCGUAAACGAUGGGUGCUAGACGUUGGCGGGCUUGCUCGUCAGUGUCGUAGCUAACGCGUUAAGCACCCCGCCUGGGGAGUACGGCCGCAAGGUUG